GCGUUUCACUUAGUGACGUGUUGGGCAACGACUCGCUCAUGGCUAUGGAACAGUAAUCCUCCAUGCAAAACAGAAAAACAAACAUGGCAAACGCGUUCUGGGCUCAGCAUUAGGGUUCGUGGCCACUGUUCACCAUGUUCAUCAAUGGUGAUGAACAAAAAUCCCAGAAAUGGGAAUUGAACGCACUGAUCAACUCAUCUAAACAUGUACAAGCACAAUCCAACCUUAAUUUCUAUCAAAUCGUGCUACACAGUAUGAAUCAU
rnacentral:lncRNA from 1 species